GGUUGGUCAGGCCACUGAACUCAUCGAUGCAUCACCUGAAUGUACUGCCUCUGAGUCUGGCCUGGCAGAGGAUUGUCCAGUCGACGAUCCGGGUGAACGUCAGGUUGGUCCGGCCGCUGAACUCACUGAUGGACCACCAGGAGCUGUUGUCACUACACUGAUUGCUCCUACCUGUGUUGCUUCUCCAUCAGUUCAGCCAUGUUGAGGCAAAAUGCUUUUUGUGCCAAGCUGGCGUGCAGAGGAGUACUAUCAAGAGAUCUGCCGGGGUGCUGUUAAUGGAGGCGUCAUCUGCUACAAACAGAUCCCCAUCAAUGGUCAGCCUGACAUGGAGGUGUCCUGCCUGUGCUUCCCCAAGUCCUACAGAGUUCAGAAGGAACCACUACAAGAGACUGAACCCAAGCGGAAGAGCAGGUCCAGGAAGAGAGUGGAAACGCGUGCCACAAAGCUGAGUACAGUAGGGAAGGGUGCUGUUCAAAGAGGUGUUGCAGGACUGCAUGGGGCAGGGAGUUGUGAGGGUCAGGUUUGGCGGAGGGGUUGAAACAAGGAGAAGGUAUCGAUCGUGUGGUGCUGAGGCAAAGACUCCAUGCAAAUUUGACACAUAAAUUGUAUGGAGGGGGUUGUGAUCUUGGGGAACACAAAAAAAUUUAGUAUCGACGAAGAUUUUUAGAUUAUCAUGUCGUUAUGCAACAUAAUGACACAUUUGAUUUUACAUUUUGGGAGGAAGUUGCCCAAUCUUUACCAAUGCCAACUGGGACACCUCGAGUUACAAAUCGUAAUGUCAAAAAUCUUUGAUUAUGGUAACAUUCAAGGUCUUGAGUUGAGUUGAGUUGACCAACCUUUUGAGUCAGUCAUCCAUAUGUAAUGAUAUAGGAGAUGACAGCAUAACCUUAAGUCAGUAUGACAAAAUCAAAGACAGUAAACUAAUUGAUACAAGAACACCAAUUAAACACAGAGUAGAGAGGAGGAAAGCAGUAAAACAUAAAUAUGGUGAGGAGGAAUGUGUCACACAGCACAAGAAACCCAAAACAGUGUUUUGUUUCUGUAAAUCAGAGAAAAACAGUAAACGACCUAUGCUAGCAUGUGAUGCAAAUUGGUAUCACUUUGAUUGUGUUUACCUAUCCCCAGAUAAACAAAAGGAUGUAGAAUCUGCAGUUUUUUUAUGCAGCUCAGAAUCAUGUUGCAUUAAAGUACAGCCAUUACAAAAUGGAUUCAUUCUUAAAGGAGACUGUGAAUCAUUUAUACAUUCUAGUGAGUGUCUAGUGAGGACAAGAUUCAACUCAACAAAAUGAUACAAACAGAGAAUGUAAAUGAGGCUCAUGUAGAACAUCUGUUUCCUAAAGACACUUUAAAUGAGAGAAUGUCAACUUGACAGACAACACCCACGGAAGGCCAACUUAAUUUGCAACCUUUAGACACGUUUGAAGAUAAAGAAACUGGUUUUGAUGUUCAUCCCGAUGUAGCCUAUAAUUCAUAUGGUGAAGUAUCAAUGUCCAAAGUACCCAAUCAAAUCUCAGACACUCAAGAUAUUGGAAAUGAAUACUAUCAGUUUGAGACAGACAGUUCUGAUAAAGGUGCAUCUGAUGAGGACAUUGCAAGCUCUAUGGAAACUAAAUCUUAUGAGCAACAUUUUUCUGGAGAGGUUGAUAUCAGUAUAAGCAAGGAUACACUGAAGUGUGUUUGGCCAGAUGCAGCAGAUUUUGGAGGGUUCAGGCUUCCCACUCCAAACAAGUGUGUUUACUUUGACUCAUCAUGAAUGGGACAGGGUCCAUUCUGAAAAGAGUGGUAGAUAUUUUAAGAGAUUUUCAUGGGUAGGUCUAUAUGCAGAAAAAAUUAAAGAGUCCAAUCCUUACUGUGUAGUAGCUUUUCAAAAUCAUCAAUUCACAGUUGCUCAGAAAAGGAUAUCAAAAAAGAAAUAUCUUACAAUAAAUGGAUGCUGUGGGCAUUCUUCAUGCGAGUUAACAUUUAAUAUUGUUCUGAACAAUGUGAAUAUACAAGAUUUCCACGUCUCAUAUUCAGGCAGUAUUAUACAUUCUGUUAAAGAUGAUAUCAAGGCCAGACCAUUUUAUGGUCCAGAGAGGAAGAAACUUGCAUUGUCAUUACAUAAUACUGCCCCAUAUAAAGUUCACAGGGAAUUAAUAGCAAAUGCUGACCUCCGAUGUUUAGUGGCUCAGAACAGAAGUGGCAUUGGAGUAGAUACAUCAGUGCUGAGAAACAUAAAAUCAGAACAACGCACAAAGAACUUUUUGGAUUGUGAUGAAAUCAACUCACUGCAAUUACUGAAAGAAAAACUGGAGAAUGAAGAUGACGGUAAUAAGGUCAUCAAGGGGUUCAUUCAUGUGUUACAAGUAUCUCCUUUUAAGGUAAUUUGUUUUACUGAGGGGGGAAUCAGACUCUGGCAUGAUAUGACCAAGCACAGCGCAGCUUUCUGGGAUGCCACUGGUGGUGUGAUCAAGUCUAGAGUUGCAGUUAUGAUAAGUGAGGAUCAUACACAGAGUGCAGUAGAGCAGUUUCCGAAUACAAUGAGAGACAAAGAAAGGCUGGUGUUUAACAAUAAUGCAGUACCCUUUACAAAUGAAUAGUGAUAGGUCCUUAGUGCUGUUGAAUGCAGCUAUGAAAGUGUUUAACAACAACAAUAUGGAGAUGUAUUUGCAGCGUUGCUGGAGAAUAGUCAAAGGACAUGCCACAACAGGAGAUCUUGACUUCUGUAUCAUACGAGCUUGUGAAAGUAAUUUAAUGCGACAGGCUAGCAAACUCUGUAAAAAACAGUUUUCUGGUAAAGAUGAUAGGUAUAGAGUUGGCAUAUACAUCAAGUUCAAGUUCAAGUUCAUUUAUUUAUAUAGCACAUUUAAAUGCUAGACAGACUAAAGUGCUUUACAGAACAAGCAUAUAAAAAUAAAAGCAGCAAAACAACCCAUAAACAUAUAGAGAACAUCUAGACUAAGAUUAACUUUAAAACAAAGACACAAAUGUAAAAUAGUAAAAACAGCCCAAGAAAAAUCAUCAAUAUGCUAAAGAGAACAGGUAUGUUUUAACCAAAGACCUAAAAGCAGAGAGGUUUUACAUAUACAUGUUCAGCUUGUUGUUGAAUUCCACACAUCUCAAGGAAAUCUGUGCUUUGGUGUAUGACAUUUGCAUAGUCCUGGGGAGCAGAACUAAUAGUACAUUGGUAAUGCAGAGCCUUGUAAGUGUGCAUAGUCAAGCAGGAAGGUUGAACAGCCAUUGUAAAAGUGAACCAUGCAACUCAAUGGAUGAAUUAGAUGGCAGAUUAUCUGAGCGACUGGGUGAACAGGAAUUUCUAAAAUACAUAAAAUCACCUUUUAUUUUAUUCAAAUGCGAGAAAAAAGCAUCAGAGAUAUUAGCAGUAGUGUCCAAUGCACAGAUCAGAACUUUUACUUUAAGAAAGGGCUGUUGGACACACUAUUCAAAAACUUUCUCCCUGUAAUACCAAUUUGGUCUGACCCAAGCG